AUACCUUUCUCGGCCUUUUGGCUAAGAUCAAGUGUAGUAUCUGUUCUUAUCAGUUUAAUAUCUGAUAUGUGAGUUAUUGGCUCACAUGAUAUUAAAUUAAUUUUUUAAGGGGGAGAGGUCACCUCAAUAGCUUGCUAUUGGAUUUCUCUUGUGUCGCCUGUGUCUUGCACUAUAGCACUGGCCUGGCAUGCCCCAA
rfam:Lupinus angustifolius cultivar Tanjil chromosome LG01, whole genome shotgun sequence.